UACGUAGGGGGCAAGCGUUGUCCGGAUUUAUUGGGCGGAAAGAGCGUGUAGGCGGCCAGGUAGGUCCGUUGUGAAAACUCGAGGCUCAACCUCGAGACGCCGAUGGAAACCAUCUGGCUAGAGUCCGGAAGAGGAGAGUGGAAUUCCCGGUGUAGCGGUGAAAUGCGCAGAUAUCGGGAAGAACACCCGUGGCUAAGGCGGCUCUCUAGUACGGUACUAACGCUGAGACGCGAAAGCGUGGGGAGCGAACAGG
rnacentral:rRNA from 1 species